UUUUUGUUCUAAUCUCACAGGCUUUUCCACCACACCCAUCUUUCUCUUUUUAUAUAAAGAGAAAGGUUCUACAAGUUGUGGAGUAAAGAAAUUACAGGAAUGGCCUUUUAAACUCAGACUUCGAUGAAGAGCUUCAGUUGCAUGAAGUGUUUCCUUGCUGUGAGGCAACUGAUGACCCUGGUCUUUCUCAUCAGUCAGAUCACUUCUAGUUUGGCUAUUUUCCACUGACAAGAUCAUCCUAUCCUUUCUUAUCACUCUCAAGAGACUCUAGCAGAAGAGCAGCAGGAGGAGAAAGAGGAAAGAACACUUGUUGAUUAAAUUUGCUCACAUGAUCAUAAAUGUAAAAGAGGAAGUCAAAAUUGAACAAUUAAGCUGCCUGCUUAUCAGGAAGUCAACAUCUUUCGACUAAAGAGCACUGACCAACAUGACUCAUACAGUGAGAAUCCUUUUGGCCUCCCAUUUCAUAAAGAGAGGUGAAGAAACCAGAUGCUGCCUGACAUUCUAUGGGCUUAUCUCUAAGAACAGAGAUAAGCAAGGAAUAUAAAGAGAGUGAGAAUCCACUCCCAAAUUCUUCACCCAGCUCUUCCCCCCAUGAGAUUGUCUGCAAGUUGGGAACUUCCCAGAGGUCUUCAACCAGAAUUAGCAGGGAAAAAAAGAAUGAAGUCUUGCCAUAUUGGAUGCCUUCAAAACCAAGAUCUUCUGAGACCUGCAAUGGGCAAGAAAGGUCAAGUAAAUGUCCCUCAUGCAACCUGGGGUGUUUCUAUGGCCCAUUAGAGCUUCUAAUGACCCUCAUCCUCUUUACAUCCAGGAUCUAUGACUCCAAGUCCUCAUGAAGAGAUUUUCAGUAUCAGAAACAAAUCAUCAAGUGACUUCUUAAAUAAUAUUAAACUUGGUCUUUACACCUGGCUUAAAGUAGACUGUCAGCAUAUGGCCACCCACAGAUUAUGUGCCAAAUCAUGCACUCAUUACCGAGAAAAAUGAGAAUGAACUUACGAACAUCUCACACACCUCAAAACAGAUGCUUUCGAAAAACAUGUCAGUCAUGGUUCUAGAGAGAUGCUGACCACUGGGCAGCAUUUUGGAAAUUGUUGAGUCUAUUAUUCCAUGGUCAAUUGUUUUGUUUCUAUUUAAUCCAAUAUUAUUUCUUUGGUGUAUAUUAUCCAUUAAAUCUAUUCAUAUACUUCACCUGA